GUGCUUGGGUGCCUCACAGGGGAGACUGAGGAAUGGUGUGGGGAUCUGGCCAACUGGCGUGUGGUUCCUUUGAAGAAGGGUGAUGGAAAAUUUAUUUGGUGUUUCGCGCAGCAUCAGAGAGCCUGACUGGAUACUGGCUUCUGCCUGUUGACCCAUUCAACCUGGAGUCUGUGAGGUGAUCUCCAUGAAGCCUGGACAGGUGAAUGACCCUCGCUGAAGAUCAGGUGAAGAGCAAGUUUCCUUCUGAGCUUCAGAGAUGCAUUCUCUAGAGGGAGGGAAUUGAGUGGAUCAAGCAAGAUCUCGAAACUGGGGCUGGAGAGAAAGGUAAGGGAGACAUCUUGGUAUGGCUUCACCUAGGAUUGCUUCCUCUCCUCCUGGGGAGCCCUGUGGCCCUUUCUUCUCCCCAUUCCUAUAGGAGAUCCAGCAGCUGCUUCCA